UACGAAGGGUGCAAGCGUUACUCGGAAUUACUGGGCGUAAAGCGUGCGUAGGCGGUGAGUUAAGUCUGAUGUGAAAUCCCCGGGCUCAACCUGGGAAUGGCAUUGGAUACUGGCUCGCUAGAGUACGGUAGAGGGUGGUGGAAUUCCCGGUGUAGCAGUGAAAUGCGUAGAGAUCGGGAGGAACAUCUGUGGCGAAGGCGGUUAGCUGGGCAGUUGCUGACACUGAGGCGCGACAGCGUGGGGAGCAAACAGG
rnacentral:rRNA from 1 species